CCUACGGGUGGCAGCAGUGGGGAAUAUUGCACAAUGGGGGCAACCCUGAUGCAGCGACGCCGCGUGAAGGAAGACGUAUUUCGGUAUGUAAACUUCUAUCAGCAGGGAAGAAAAUGCCGGUACCUGACUCAGAAGCCCCGGCUAACUACGUGCCAGCAGACGCGGUAAUACGGAGGGGGCAAGGGUUAUCCGGAUUUACUGGGUGUAAAGGGAGUGUAGGCGGUAGUGCAAGUCAGAAGUGAAAGCCCAAGGCUCAACCAUGGGACUGCUUUUGAUACUGUACAGCUAGAGUGCAGGAGAGGUAAGUGGAAUGCCUAGUGUAGCGGUGAAAUGCGUAGAUAUUAUGAGGAACACCAGUGGCGAAGGCAGCUUACUGAACUGUAAAUGACGCUGAGGCUCGAAAGCGUGGGGAGCAAACAGGAUUAGAUACCCUUGUAGUC
rnacentral:rRNA from 1 species